rnacentral:lncRNA from 1 species
UUUCUCUUCUUCUUCUCUCUAUACGUUGGUGUUCUAACCAAUAAUCACCAAAGCGAUGUUCUGUCCGAUCGAUUCAGGAACCAUCUAACGAAUGCCGAAGUGUUGUGCUUUGUGAAUUUCGUUAAACGGAAUCCAAAGUACUAUACUUUGUGAGUUCAUUAAAUGGAUACCAAAGUACUGUCUGAAUAAGACUAUACUUUGUGAAAUUCGUUAAGGUUCGAAUCUCGUGACUACCGUUAAGGUUUGAUUUGGGUUUUACACAAAUACGUAUUCCAUUCUGUUAAACUAUAUGUUUAACUACUAAAAAUACUUCCCACUACACUCUCACAAUCAAACAAACUAUUAAAUCAUCAGAAGAUCCAGAAUAAUAAAGUGCAUGCUUAAUUAUCGGAAGAAGUAGAAUCAAGAAGCUUGUUAACUCAAUCUUGCAUGCUUAUAAAGUAAUUACAGUAGAUUGGGGUAAGAAUUGGAUCCAGCACUGAAGGACUUCAAGAAAUGGCUUAUUUUAUUAAAUA